UUAUUGUCUCUUUUUCCUUUUUCUUUCUUACUUUUCAUAGACUUAGUGAAGCUACACCAUUCCCAAGUUGAUUAAAGUAAAAAACAAAAACAAAAAAAUCCCUGUCAGAAUUUUGCUUCUCAUGGCACUUAAGGAAUCUGGGUGGCAUGGGAAUAUGGACAGGCUUUUAAAAUUCUUUCAUUAUUGACUUCUACCCGAUGACUGACACUACUGUUAGGGCUCCAGCUGCAAGUUAAGACUAACAGAUCUCUUCCACAGGUGUCUCAGGAACACAGCAGGUUCUACACUGGGUCAGACUUGAGACUACCAACUAUAAAGGACGUCGGCUUUAACACGUGUGCUGCGUGGAGAAAAUAAGAAAGAGCUGAACACUGUUAGAAUUUUACCUGCCUUGAUUUAAGUGGCCAGUUUGGCUUGUUUCCUGCGGUGCACAACAAGAUUACAAAGUGAUUACAAAGGAAGCCGGACUUCACUUUUGGGGGUGAUGGACAUGACCACAGUCUUCAUUGUUGUGGUCAUUUCACAGGUGCAUACUUCUGUCGGAACUUACCAAGCUAUACACUUUAAAUAUGUGCAGUUUAUUGUAUGUCAUCAUGCAGGCAUGACAGAGGGCUUACCUCUUGCCUUCUAGGUCACUUCUCACAAUGUCCCCUCAGCACCUAACCCUAUACCCACCGCUUAUUUCUAGGUUAUGUUAGUAAUGUAACAAAGAAUAAUAUUAAAAGCUAAUGAUUAAUGUUUAUACUAAUGAUUGAUAAUUGUCCAUGAUCAUCUCUAUAUCCAAUUUGUAUGAUAACGAUUCUUUAUUCUAACUAUUUCCUUUAUUAUACUGCUACAGUUUGUGCCUUCAGUCUCUUGCCUCAGCACCUGGGUAAUCCUUCACCCACACUUUCCAAUCUGACUCUGGCAUAACAUUAUGUGACAAAGAAGAAAAUCAAAAUAUUUUACCCCAAAACAUGUUUCUUUACCAUAAUUUGUUCUCAGAACCGCCUGAGGGCUGUGUCAUGGACCAUGGUCACUCAUAUUUGGCUCAGAAUAAAUCUCUUUAAAUAUUUUACAGAGUUUGACUUUCUUCAUUGACAUCUGUAUGUAUCCACCCAGUGGCUAUACUCUGACUGCAUCUAUCCAGCAGUGUGCUGAAGCCAGCCCAUACUGGUUGGUGAGAACUGAUUGUGCACAUGUCUUCCAAUUCCACAUUCGGUGACAUCACCAUAGUAGCUUAAA
rnacentral:lncRNA from 10 species